UUUCCGUAGGUGAACCUGCGGAGGAUCAUUAAUGAGUUGUCAUGGGGUUCGAUGCUGGCAGCCAGUUUUUGGAUGCAUGUGCUUGCCCUAACAAUCAUCUUCUUCCAAACACCUGUGCACAUUUUUGAGGGAGUCUUGAGUUGGUUGCCGCUCUUGGGUGAUUUUCUCACAUUCCCUUAAAUCAUUAUACGCUAUUAACAAUGUUGAACGUGCUCUGUGCCGCAAGGCCAUUAAUAUAAUACAACUUUUAACAACGGAUCUCUUGGCUCUC
rnacentral:misc_RNA from 1 species